rnacentral:snoRNA from 1 species
GUGAGGUGAUGAUGAAGUUUAUCCAUUCUCUGAGUGCAGUGGCGCUGCCCUCCUGCAACACCCCUGACUCCUGUUCUAGGGUUUGGGUGCUGUGCAGCCUCCAGACACCCUCCAGUCUGCCAGUGUCCUACUGGGGGCUGCUGCGGUGUGUGGCUGGCUGCCUGCAGGAGCAAAGCAGUGCUGGCAGGGUCAGAGCCCCUCUCUGGAGGGGCUCUGUCCCCACUAAGACGAGGGAUGACUGUCUGAUUGC